UACGAAGGGGGCUAGCGUUGUUCGGAAUUACUGGGCGUAAAGGGCGCGUAGGUGGCUUGUCAAGUUGGAUGUGAAAGCCCAGGGCUCAACCCUGGAAUUGCAUUCAAGACUGCUUUGCUUGAAUUCGGUAGAGGUUGGUGGAAUUCCCAGUGUAGAGGUGAAAUUCGUAGAGAUUGGGAAGAACACCCGUGGCGAAGGCGGCCAACUGGACCGACAUUGACACUGAGGCGCGAAAGCGUGGGGAUCAAACAGG
rnacentral:rRNA from 1 species